GAUGAACGCUAGCUACAGGCUUAACACAUGCAAGUCGAGGGGAAGCGCCAUCGACAGCUUGCUUUUGAUUGGCGUCGACCGGCGCGCGGGUGAGUAACGCGUAUCCCACCUACCCAUCACUUGGGUAUAACCUUGCGAAAGUAAGACUAAUACACAAUGACAUCCCACGAAGACAUAUGAAUAGGACUAACGAUUUAUCGGUGAUGGAUGGGGCUGCGUCUGAUUAGCUUGUUGGCGGGGUAACGGCUCACCAAGGCAACGAUCAGUAGGGGUUCUGAGAGUAAGCCCCCCCACAAUGGAACUGCGGCACGGUCCACUCUCCUACGGAGCGCAGCAGUGUGUACUAUUGUUCACUGGGCGCUAGCCUGACCCAGCCAAGUAGCGUGCAGGAUUCCGGCCCUCUUGGUUCUAAACUGCUUUUAUAAGGGAAUAAUGUGGGUCUCUGUAGACUUUUUGCCUGUACCUUAUGAAUAAGCACCGGCUAAUUCCGUG
rnacentral:rRNA from 1 species